rfam:Candidatus Parvarchaeum acidophilus ARMAN-5 ARM5contig_1417, whole genome shotgun sequence.
GCCUAGGUGGCUCAGUGGUAAAGCGUCUCCUUGGUAAGGAGAAGAUCGCGAGUCCGAUUCUCGCCCUAGGCU